rnacentral:rRNA from 1 species
GACGAACGCUGGCGGCGUGCUUAACACAUGCAAGUCGAACGAAGUGGCGAACGGGUGAGUAACGCGUAAUCAACCUGCCCUUCAGAGGGGGACAACAGUUGGAAAAGACUGCUAAUACCGCAUACGGAAGGAUGGGGUGGCGUCUGCUUAGCUAGUGGGGGGGGAAACGGCCCACCAAGGCGAUGAUCAGUAGCCGGUCUGAGAGGAUGAACGGCCACAUUGGGACUGAGACACGGCCCAGACUCCUACGGGAGGCAGCAGUGGGGAAUUUUGGACAAUGGGCGCAAGCCUGAUCCAGCCAUGCCGCGUGUCUGAAGAAGGCCUUCGGGUUGUAAAGGACUUUUGUCAGGGAAGCGGUACCUGAAGAAUAAGCACCGGCUAACUACGUGCCAGCCGCCGCGGUAAUUC